UUACCGUGAAAAAAUUAGAGUGUUCAAAGCAGGCAGAUUCAAUUUUCUGCCACCGAAUACAUUAGCAUGGGAUAAUGGAAUAGGACCCUGUCCUCCUAUUUUCAGUUGGUUUUGGCAGCGCGAGGACUAGGGUAAUGAUUAAUAGGGAUAGUUGGGGGCAUUAAUAUUUAAUUGUCAGAGGUGAAAUUCUUGGAUUUAUGAAAGAUUAACUUCUGCGAAAGCAUCUGCCAAGGAUGUUUUCAUUAAUCAAGAACGAAAGUUAGGGGAUCGAAGACGAUCAGAUACCGUCGUAGUCUUAACCAUAAACGAUGCCGACCAGCGAUUAGGAGACGUUGAAUACAAAACACCACCAUCGGCGCGGUCGUCCUUGGCGCGUUCGUGUUCACGCACGAGCGCGCGAGGGC
rnacentral:rRNA from 1 species